rnacentral:misc_RNA from 1 species
UAAUAAGUGUUUUAUGGCACUUUUUAAAUCCAUAUCCACCUUGUGUGCAAUGUCGGUCGAUCUUCUUUUUCUGAGGAUCGACCAAACAUCAACCUUUAUUUUUUAACUCUUUGUCUGAAAAAUAUUAUGAAUAAACAAUUCAAAAUA